rnacentral:rRNA from 1 species
AUUCGACCUCAAAUCAGGUAGGACUACCCGCUGAACUUAAGCAUAUCAAUAAGCGGAAGGA